GGGCCCGCACAAGCGGUGGAGUAUGUGGUUUAAUUCGAUGCAACGCGAAGAACCUUACCAGGGUUUGACAUCCUGCGAAUCUCUUGGAAACAGGAGAGUGCCUUCGGGAACGCAGUGACAGGUGGUGCAUGGCUGUCGUCAGCUCGUGUCGUGAGAUGUUGGGUUAAGUCCCGCAACGAGCGCAACCCACGUCUUUAGUUGCCAUCAUUUAGUUGGGCACUUUAAUGGGACUGCCGGUGACAAACCGGAGGAAGGUGGGGAUGACGUCAAGUCCUCAUGGCCCUUAUGGCCAGGGCUUCACACGUGCUACAAUGGUAGUGACAAUGGGUUAAUCCCCAAAAACUAUCUCAGUUCGGAUUGUCGUCUGCAACUCGACGGCAUGAAGUCGGAAUCGCUAGUAAUCG
rnacentral:rRNA from 1 species